rnacentral:tRNA from 1 species
GGUGGGGUACCCAAGCGGCCAACGGGAGCAGACUGUAAAUCUGCCGGCGUAACGCCUACGUAGGUUCGAAUCCUACCCCCACCA